AUCCUAUUUUCCAUUUCUUCUCCACCGAUUUUUUCAGCCAUUUUUGGGGGGUUUUGAGCUUCAAAAAUUUCAGCAACUUUAAGCCUUCACAAGUCAAGAAAUAUUGAAUCUGAACCUAGACCAGGGGAAGACCAAGCAAAUCGACUUGUCACCACAUUUUGUAAUCCGAAUGCCGCCUAUCUAGCUUAAGGAUCAACGGGAAUCAGAGAUAUCGAUCACACUAUCAAUUGAAGCAUUUGGUAUAGUUUGAUUUAUAUUUUUGAAUAUAGCAUGUAUAGGGAACUAGACUAGUGUUUUGUGUCAUUAUCAAUUUGGCCAAAUGUGUUGGCUUGGGAUAAAUCUCUCAUUGUAUUAAGCCUUGAAUGAUGGCUAAUAAUCAUUUUGAGUUAUAUACAAAGAUGUUAUAUUCAUAGAUGAGUAAAAUGC